UGGAACCGCAGGUCCUAAAGGGACAGCUCCUGGGGAUGCAAGAUGUUCUACCGCAGGGAUAAUAACAGUAAAUAGGCCAAAGAAGGAGAAUGGGGAUUUCCUCCCAAAAGUGAUGCUAGCAGAAAACAGGGUCUUGAGAAGAGUCUCAGAAUGGACAGGCUUGAAGUCACUAUGGAGCUGUACUUUGUACUUUGGUUGUCUCGACUCCGUCUCCCUCGUGCUGGGAUUACAGAACACUCAGCUUCCGGCGAGAGUUGGAGAGGAAGCGCUCUCAGACCAUCACGGGUGUGCCUGGAUGCAGGUGCAGUCUCCCAUCCUGAACAGUUCUUAACCUGGGGAUGAAGGACCGCCUACUUAUUUAUUGAAAGUACACAUUCUUUUUUCAAAGAUUUAUUUAUUAUAUGUAAGUACAGUGUAGCUGUCUUCAGAUGCUCCAGAAGAGGGCAUCAGAUCUCAUUAUGGGUGGUUGUGAGCCACCAUGUGGUUGCUGGAAUUUGAACUCAGAACCU
rnacentral:lncRNA from 1 species